GAAGAACCAGAAACAAAAGAAAAAAAGAAAUACAGAUACAAGACCCCAGCUCUGGGUCAUUCUUUAUGAACUGAACUGGACAGAGAUGUGCCACUGAGAACUACCAAUUCUAUGAGAAUAGCACUAGGCCAGGCGUGGUGGCCUUUAAUCCCAGCACUCCGGAGGCAGAGGCAAGCGGAUUUCUGAGUUCGAGGCCAGCCUGGUCUACAAAGUGAGUUCCAGGACAGCCAGGGCUGUAGUCCCCCCUCCCCCAGCCUGAAACCUGCUUGCUCAGGGGUGGAGCUUCCUGCUCAUUCGUUCUGCCACGCCCACUGCUGGACCUUGCAGCUUUGCUGUUUGGAGCCACAUCGUGCUCACCCUGCUACUGGAUUCCGAGAUUAUUUGGCGGGAAUCGGGUCCCCUCCCCCUUCCUUCAUAACUGAGUGUCGCAACAGUAAAAUUGAGCUUUG
rnacentral:lncRNA from 1 species